rnacentral:rRNA from 1 species
AUGCAUGGUUCGAUGCAUAGUGUCGUUCAAACAUCGGCCAGUCAGCAUCAUCCGUGUAGCAGCGCUCUUAUCAUGGCGGAACUACUCUUUGGCCGACACUCGAUGCACGAUUUGCAGACAACGCUUGAUCGUGCGGUUGUGCAACACUUACUCCUACCGAUGCAUGGUUCGAUGCAUAGUGUCGUUCAAACAUCGGCCAGCCAGUGUCGUCCGUGUAGCAGCGCUCUUAUCAUGGCUUCUGCUACAGUUCUGCUGCUUGGCUCUAUGGUAAUGUUGAUUGGAACAUGCUUGACAAGCUGA